CAAUAAGGAGAUGCUUCUGUAUAUGUAACUCCAGCCUGGAAAAGAAAUYGUUUAGGACAUCUUAUUCCUUAUCUCAAAAGGACAGAGGUCUGUAAAAUCAUCUGAACUGUAUUCUCUUGUUCCACAUUGUUUGGAGUCUCUAGUUGUCCAUCUGAAGAAUGAAUGAUGAAAGCUGAAGCAAUUAAAUUUCACCACACUUAUUGAGAAGAACSAAAAAUGCAUUGCUACCACGUUGGACUUGUCAGGAGAGAAUCACUGGAUU